CAGAGGGGGCAAGCGUUGUUCGGAAUUACUGGGCGUAAAGGGCGCGUAGGCGGCCUUCUAAGUCGAACGUGAAAUCCCCGGGCUCAACCCGGGAACUGCGUCCGAUACUGGAAGGCUUGAAUCCGGGAGAGGGAUGUGGAAUUCCAGGUGUAGCGGUGAAAUGCGUAGAUAUCUGGAGGAACACCGGUGGCGAAGGCGACAUCCUGGACCGGUAUUGACGCUGAGGCGCGAAAGCCAGGGGAGCAAACGGGAUUAGAUACCCCGGUAGUCCUGGCCCUAAACGAUGAAUGCUUGGUGUGGCGGGUAUCGAUCCCUGCCGUGCCGAAGCUAACGCAUUAAGCAUUCCGCCAGGGGAGUACGGUCGCAAGGCUG
rnacentral:rRNA from 1 species